rnacentral:rRNA from 1 species
UACGAAGGGGGCUAGCGUUGCUCGGAAUCACUGGGCGUAAAGGGCGCGUAGGCGGCGUUUUAAGUCGGGGAGUGAAAGCCUGUGGCUCAACCACAGAAUGGCCUUCGAUACUGGGACGCUUGAGUAUGGUAGAGGUUGGUGGAACUGCGAGUGUAGAGGUGAAAUUCGUAGAUAUUCGCAAGAACACCGGUGGCGAAGGCGGCCAACUGGACCAUUACUGACGCUGAGGCGCGAAAGCGUGGGGAGCAAACAGG